rnacentral:rRNA from 1 species
UACGUAGGGGGCUAGCGUUGUCCGGAAUCAUUGGGCGUAAAGCGCGCGUAGGCGGCCCGGUAAGUCCGCUCUGAAAGUCCAGGGCUCAACCCUGGAAAGCGGGUGGAUACUGCCGGGCUAGAAUCCGGAAGAGGCGAGUGGAAUUCCUGGUGUAGCGGUGGAAUGCGCAGAUAUCAGGAGGACCACCGGUGGCGAAGGCGGGUCGCUGGGCAGUAACUGACGGUGAGGGGCGAAAGCGUGGGGAGCGAACAGG